CAGCGACCCCAGGUCAGGCGGGACUACCCGCUGAGU
rnacentral:rRNA from 3 species